AGAGUCACCUACACUGAAGACCUGAGCAGUAGUAACAAAUUUAUCGUCACUUCCCCCAUGUAAGAAGCCUUGGGGCUGAGCUGUAUAAACAUGAUAGAAGCAUUUCUUGUUCGAAGAUCUGACAGCCCAACUCCUGAUCGCUUAAAGUACUGGGGGGUAUCUGCUCUUCAGCACAUGUGACCUCGUUUCACUUCCGGCUAUAACGAACAAGGAUGAUCUAUGGUAGCUUUGUGCUAAGCCACACUUUA